rnacentral:rRNA from 1 species
AUUGAACGCUGGCGGCAUGCCUUACACAUGCAAGUCGAACGGCAGCGCGGGGGCAACCUGGCGGCGAGUGGCGAACGGGUGAGUAAUAUAUCGGAACGUACCCAGAAGUGGGGGGAUAACGUAGCGAAAGUUACGCUAAUACCGCAUACGAUCUACGGAUGAAAGUGGGGGACCUUCGGGCCUCAUGCUUUUGGAGCGGCCGAUAUCUGAUUAGCUAGUUGGUGAGGUAAAGGCUCACCAAGGCGACGAUCAGUAGCUGGUCUGAGAGGACGACCAGCCACACUGGGACUGAGACACGGCCCAGACUCCUACGGGAGGCAGCAGUGGGGAAUUUUGGACAAUGGGGGCAACCCUGAUCCAGCAAUGCCGCGUGAGUGAAGAAGGCCUCGGUGUAAGACUCUUUGUCUAGGGAAGGAAACGGUAGGA